UACGUAGGGGGCAAGCGUUGUCCGGAUUUAUUGGGCGUAAAGAGCGUGUAGGCGGCCAAGCAGGUCCGUUGUGAAAACUGGAGGCUCAACCUCCAGACGUCGAUGGAAACCGUCUGGCUAGAGUCCGGAAGAGGAGAGUGGAAUUCCUGGUGUAGCGGUGAAAUGCGCAGAUAUCAGGAAGAACACCCGUGGCGAAAGCGGCUCUCUGGGACGGUACUGACGCUGAGACGCGAAAGCGUGGGGAGCGAACAGG
rnacentral:rRNA from 1 species